rnacentral:snRNA from 1 species
GUGCUCACUUCGGCAGCACAUAUACUAAAAUUGAAACAAUACAAAGAAGAUUAGCAUGGGCCCUGCACAAGGAUGACAUGCAAAUUCGUGAAGCGUUCCAUGUUUUU